rnacentral:misc_RNA from 1 species
GUUGGGAAGAGCAAAAUUAUGGUAAUCCUACUGCAGAGGUUGCUGCAUGGUAACAACCAAAGGACUUGUGACUUCGUGUUUUCCAUCAGUCCAAACUAUAGAACCACUCUUCAUGUUAGAGCUUCCAGGGGAAAGUCUAACAGCCAUUGCUUGGACCCUAACCAAGAAGCUCAAUUUUUGCCCAACCCUUCUAAACGCUAGCUUUUCUGGUUCCACCGUCACUGAAAUUCCACUUGGUGGCUUUAUUGAUACCUUAUAGAUAGAAUUGGCGUCUCCAACGUUAGUCACAGUUCUUAUGAAAUGUGUAGACAUCUUAUGUUUACCAUAUUGUUGAAACACCACAGACAAUGAAGGGUAAUUCAAAUUCCCAGUAUGUCCAGC